AUUGAACGCUGGCGGCAGGCCUAACACAUGCAAGUCGAACGAGUGGCGGACGGGUGAGUAAUGUCUGGGAAACUGCCCGAUGGAGGGGGAUAACUACUGGAACCGGUAGCUAAUACCGCAUAUCAUCGGAUGUGCCCAGACGGGACUGGCUCGUAGGUGGGGUAACGGCUCACCUAGGCGACGAGCCCUAGCUGGUCUGAGAGGAUGACCAGCCACUCUGGAACGGAGACACGGUGCAGACUCCUACGGGAGGCAGCAGUGGGGAAUAUUGCACAAGGGGCGCAAGCCUGAUGCAGCCAUGCCGCGUGUAUGAAGAAGGCCUUCGGGUUGUAAAGUACUUUCAGCGAGGAGGCGUUACUCGCAGAAGAAGCACCGGCUAACUCCGUGCCAGCAGCCGCGGUAAUUC
rnacentral:rRNA from 1 species